rnacentral:tRNA from 1 species
GGAAACGUGACCGAGUGGUUUAAUGCAGCAGUCUUGAAAACCAACGACUGCCGUCGUUCGUGAAUUCGAAUCUCACCGCUUUCGCCG